AAAGUCUAAACCUCCUCACCCCCUUGUUCCCAAAUCGUCCCAGGCUCCCAGCCCUACCGCUCACUCCCGCCCGGCCGCCCCACUCCAGUCUCCAGAAAUCGUUACCGUCUCCGGCGUGGGAGGCGGCUCCCCUCGCCAGCGCGGCGUUGCCGUCAUUCACAUUUAAGAGCCAAUCGCCCCAGCCUCCCCAGUCCCACGAGGCCGCGACUCCCACCGCGACCCAGACCCUCGCCCACUCAGCACUCAGCAGUCGGCCCGCC
rnacentral:lncRNA from 1 species